rnacentral:rRNA from 1 species
UACGAAGGGGGCUAGCGUUGCUCGGAAUUACUGGGCGUAAAGGGCGCGUAGGCGGGAUGGCAAGUCGGUCGUGAAAUCCCUCGGCUCAACUGAGGAGCGUCGAUCGAAACUGCCGUUCUUGAGGGUUGCAGAGGAGACUGGAAUUCCCGGUGUAGCGGUGAAAUGUGUAGAGAUCGGGAGGAACACCGGUGGCGAAGGCGGGUCUCUGGGCAACUCCUGACGCUGAGGCGCGAAAGCGUGGGGAGCAAACGGG